rnacentral:tRNA from 1 species
UAAACUGUAGCUCAAAUGGAAGAGCAUCUGAAUGCAAAUCAGAAGGUUGUCAGUUCGAUUCUGGCCAGUUUAC